GGAGACAUUAGGGCAAUAACUUUAAGAGUGUGACAUUGAUUCUCCUCUGCCUAAGAUGAAUAUAUGGUCAUUCCUUGAAGCAGGAAGAUGAAUCAGUUCUCAGGUGACCCAUGAAUAGUUAAUCCCUUGCUGCCAGAGGGAUGCUAACACCGCCCACGUGCUGCAGCAGGACUUUGGAAGGGGAACCAGCACUGUAAUGAAGUGUUGGGUUGGCUCAAGUCUUGUCUGGACCACAAACCAUUUUUCAACCACUAGUGUGCCUUUAAAACCCAAACCAACUGUGAGAGUGGUUUUCUACUUUGAUUCUAGAUGGGAAAAUAUUUUGCUUUUUUGGUGGAUGACAGUGUCAGGUCCCAAAUGGAUUUGGUUUCAUCCUCCAGCACGCAUGCAUAUAACGUGAAACAUGCCCACACUCUGCAAGGGCCACAGCCACCCCACCAUUAUGUUCCAAGGCAAAUAUGCGUCCGCGGGUCCCCGGGAAAGUAAAGGAGUUUCACAUUGAGGAGCCGAGCCACACAGUCUAGCAGUUCUGAUGUCUCUCCAAGGCCCACAGAUCCUGGUCUACUAACUUAAGGCCCCUUUUGUCUAAAAUAGUGAUGUACAUUAAAUGCAAAGGGCAAAUGGAACCAUUGAAAAGUACUUUUUGCAUCCAAAACAGCCAACGCUUUGGUGCCUGCUAUGUGUCAGACACUGAUUCUUCUGUCAUCCUUAUUCUACUGAUGAGG
ensembl:lncRNA LINC00310 long intergenic non-protein coding RNA 310